rnacentral:lncRNA from 1 species
GGCUCCAUAUAAAAAAUUCAAUAGAAUAAACAGUUGUGGCAAGAGGUGAAUAUUUUUGAAUGUUAACAACGCUGGUAUAUUUACAAACCAUUUAUUACGUAAAAAUCCUUCACCAAGUCAUAAAAAAGAAGGGAAAGAUACUAGAAGGAUGUUAGAACUCAUAAGUCGAAAAUUAAAUAUAGGUUAAGCAGAGUUCGUUCCAUAUUUGGCACCCAUCAUGAUGUUCAUGCUAUUAUACACACGGUAAUAAG